rnacentral:rRNA from 1 species
AUUGAACGCUGGCGGCAGGCCUAACACAUGCAAGUCGAGCGGAUGAAGGGAGCUUGCUCCUGGAUUCAGCGGCGGACGGGUGAGUAAUGCCUAGGAAUCUGCCUGGUAGUGGGUGAUAACGUCCGGAAACGGGCGCUAAUACCGCAUACGUCCUGAGGGAGAAAGUGGGGGAUCUUCGGACCUCACGCUAUCAGAUGAUCCUAGGUCGGAUUAGCUAGUUGGUGGGGUAAAGGCCUACCAAGGCGACGAUCCGUAACUGGUCUGAGAGGAUGAUCAGUCACACUGGAACUGAGACACGGUCCAGACUCCUACGGGAGGCAGCAGUGGGGAAUAUUGGACAAUGGGCGAAAGCCUGAUCCAGCCAUGCCGCGUGUGUGAAGAAGGUCUUCGGAUUGUAAAGCCCUUUAAGUUGGGAGGAAGGGCAGUAAGUUAAUACCUUGCUGUUUUGACGUUACCAAAAGAAUAAGCACCGGCUAACUUCGUG